CAGGAAAACGAGUAUGUUUUCCUGGCACUAUAGUGGUCCUUUAAGUGUUCUUGCAUAGCAAGACCACUUAAAGGAGCACUAUAGUGCCAGGAAAACAUACUUGUUUUCCUGACACUAU